AUUGAACGCUGGCGGCAUGCCUUACACAUGCAAGUCGAACGGCAGCAUAGGAGCUUGCUCCUGAUGGCGAGUGGCGAACGGGUGAGUAAUAUAUCGGAACGUGCCCUAGAGUGGGGGAUAACUAGUCGAAAGACUAGCUAAUACCGCAUACGAUCUACGGAUGAAAGUGGGGGAUCGCAAGACCUCAUGCCCCUGGAGCGGCCGAUAUCUGAUUAGCUAGGUGGUGGGGUAAAAGCCUACCAAGGCGACGAUCAGUAGCUGGUCUGAGAGGACGACCAGCCACACUGGGACUGAGACACGGCCCAGACUCCUACGGGAGGCAGCAGUGGGGAAUUUUGGACAAUGGGGGCAACCCUGAUCCAGCAAUGCCGCGUGAGUGAAGAAGGCCUUCGGGUUGUAAAGCUCUUUUGUCAGGGAAGAAACGGUAGUAGCUAAUAUCUAUUACUAAUGACGGUACCUGAAGAAUAAGCACCGGCUAACUACGUGCCAGCCGCCGCCGUAA
rnacentral:rRNA from 1 species